GACGAACGCUGGCGGCGUGCUUAACACAUGCAAGUCGAACGGUGAAGCGUCUUCCUUUUUGGUGGGUGUGGAUGAGUGGCGAACUGGUGAGUAACCCGUGAGUAACCUGCCCCCUUCUUCUGGAUAACCGCAUGAAAGUGUGGCUAAUACGGGAUAUUCUGGGUCUGUCGCAUGAUGGGUCUGUGAAAGUUAUUGUUUCGGUGGGGGAUGCGCUCGCGGCCUAUCAGCUUGUUGGUGGGGUGAUGGCCUACCAAGGCGGUGACGGGUAACCGGCCUGAGAGGGUCGACGGUCACACUGGGACUGGGAACCGGCCCAGACUCAUAAGGAGGCCAGCAGUGGGGAAUAUUGCACAAUGGGCGGAAGCCUGAUGCAGCGACGCCGCGAGAGGGAUCGAGGCCUUCGGGUUGAGAACCUCUUUCACCAGUGAAGCAGGCCUGCCUAGUUUGUGGGUGGGUUGACGGUAGCUGGAGAAGAAGCGACGGCUAACUACGUG
rnacentral:rRNA from 1 species